GCUCAGUAACACGUCGAUAAUCUGCCCUUAGGUCUUUGAUACCCUCGGGAAACUGAGGUUAAACAAAGAUAGGAAAUCGAGGCUGGAACGCACUUUUUCUUAAAUCUUCGGAGCCUAAGGAUGAGUCGGCGGCUGAUUAGGCAGUUGGUGAGGUAAUGGCUCACCAAACCUAUGAUCAGUAGGGGUCUUGAGAGAGAUAGCCCCGAGAAGGGCACUGAGAUAAGGGCCCUAGUCCUACGGGAUGCAGCAGGCGGGAAAACUUUACAAUGCACGAAAGUGCGAUAAGGGUAUCCUGAGUGCUUACACUUUUAGUGUAAGCUUUUGCCAAGAGCAAAUAUCUUGGCGAAUAAGUGAUGGGCAAGACCGGUGCCAGCCGCCGCGGUAACCCCGGCGUCACGAGUGGGAGCCACAUUUAUUGGGUCUAAAGCGUCCGUAGCCGGCCUCGCAGAUUCUUUGUGAAAUUGUUACAGUCAACUUAACAGCGCGCAAAGGACACCUGCAAGGCUCGGGACUGGGAGGAGUCAGAGGUAUUCCUGGGGAAGCGGUAAAAUGUUAUAAUCCCAGGAGGACCACCGAUGGCGAAGGCAUCUGACUAGAACAGGUCCGACGGUGAGGGACGAGAGCUAGGGGAUCAAAACGGAUUAGAUACCCGAGUAGUCCUAGCUGUAAACUCUGCAGGUUAGGCGUUGCGCAAUCUAUAUGAUUGUGC
rnacentral:rRNA from 1 species